ensembl:lncRNA
GUUCGGACUACUCUGGACUACGCGUGUAUGUCUCAAACUGUCGAUUCAUUAGCGGUUCAGAUGGAUCCCGUUCAGUCAACUGAACAGACGCGUUAUUUUGCUUGUCCCCAGUCCAUGCUCUGCUGCAGCCACAAAGAAGUGCAGCUCCAUCUAUAAAGGGUUUGCCCAGUGUCUGCUUGCCCUAGGAGACAGUCUGUCUGUCAGCUCCCAAAAAGACGAGGAUACGCAGGAGAUCGACUCUAUUUGCAAAUCCUGGGAUGAUUUUCAUGACUGUGCAAAUGUGGCCAUGGCCGGCUGCCCUGAGGAGGCUGCUGUGGUGUGGGAGUCUCUGAGACAAGAGUCCAAAAAGAUGCAGUUUUCUGGAAACCUGUAUGAGAUGUGCUCCAGUCGUAGCCAAUCAGCAGCUGCCUCUGAUUCCCAAAGCCCUGAUGAAACCAAUCAGGAGUCGUUAAAGGGAUGUGCUAGUCAUACAAGCCUGACCUUUCUGACCUUCUGUUUGUCUGUGCUACUACUGUUUCCAUGGAUAUAAUCGCAUCUCAAGACUCACCUCAGAAUUUAAAUAUUCAGCACAUAGCCAACAAUACUGACUGGUUUGAUUCUGACAUUUUCAUGUUGUAGAGUAAGAUUCCUUUUAUGCUUCAAAUCCAACUUUUAAGAACAAAAAGAAUGUCAUUUGGACACUUGUUUUCAACAAACACAUGUUUUUAGGUUCCGAUGCUUGCUUUUAUUAUUUAUUUAUUGUUUAUUUAAAAUCAUUUAAGCACAAAUUUCAUUCAUAGGAGGACCAAAACGUGCUUCAAACGACUCCAGGCCUGAUGAAGACGAAUCAAAGAUGGCAAAAAGACAUUUCCAAACCCCUUCAUCUAAGAGGAAAUUAAAUGAAGGUCUACUGCAAUACAUUGUCACAUCAGUGAGCUAUGAGUAUCAAAGCAAUUUAAAGAGCCCUCAAAAAUGUUAUUAUUUCACUCUGUAGUGUAAUCUUCUUUUGUAGGAUCCUGAGAGGAUUAAGUUGAAGGAUUACACCAAAUAAAAGUAAAUCUAAGCAACAUGGCUCACCUACAGGCUUUGCCUGCGAACAGGCUUGUCAGACUGUGUAGUCUGUAGUCUGAACGCCUUUGGGUGAUGGUUUAAACCCAGUUUAUUAAUGACGGUUUCAUUGAUUAAGUUUAACGAACAGCACAGCAUUACGCUUCAAGGUGUUUUUGUACUAGUCUGUAUCAGUAUGGAACUGCUGUUCAUUUGAUGUUGGUAAGAGUACUGUGUAUAUAUUGUAAAGUCUUACAUUAUGCAUUCCUCAUAGCUACUUAUUAUUUUUUCAAAUAUGUGUAUUUGUAAUGACACAAGAUGGAUUUGCUUAAAAAAUCAUGGUGCAGUGAUGUAAAUAUGACCGAUAUGCUGCAAAGAAAAGCUUUAUGUGAAUAAGUACAUUAUCAUUUAGUGCAUAAUGAACAGAUGAGACAAAUCAAUGAAGGUGAACGCAUUAACAUCAAUAAGAUCAAAUUGUGAGUGAUUAUCACCGUAAAUAUGAGCACACGGUGUAUUCCUGUGGAUACAUGACUUUGUGUGUAAAGCGAAGGAGUUUUUUCCCCUGGAUCAGCUUUCAUGACUUUCACUCAACGCUGUGCUCUGCUCCGCUCAGCGGAUUCCUCAGUCAGUGUGAUUUAUGUUUAAUUUUUAGGUUUAAUUGGCAAUCAACUAUGUUUGCCAAUGCAGCGAACUUAUUAAGGAGGGCAAAAGCCAUUUAUUUAAUCAGAAAAAACUUUAAUAGGGGAGGGUUGCCGCUGAUGUCUCAGAUUUUGCUUUUGUGUGGUAGACUGGCUAUCAACACAUGCUUUUCUUUGAUUCCAAAUCCAGUUCCACAAUUGUCAUAGCCAGUGAAUAAUAAAGUACAAUCUUAUGAAAUAAUAUAGUAAGGGCUAAUGUGUACAAAUUUUAAGUGUACAUCACUCCUUGCUACAUAGAGCUCAUUAAUACCUCCCUUAUUAAUAAUAUUUAAUAAUAUAUGGAGACAGUUAUCAUUUGCUUGACAGAUGCAUUUUAUGAAUCGCAUGUAAAACAAUUGUUUUCUUUCUUAUUUUGAUAUCAUAUAUUGCUGAUCGCUCACUCAUUUGAAGCUGUGCCCUGCAGAUCUCUACAAAAAAAAAAGGUUGUCUAAAAAUUGUUCAAGGUGUCUGAAAUAAUAAUUUAAAUGCUUCUUGUUUUCUGUCUGUCUGCACAAUUAUUUGUUAUACAUACCAAUAUAUUCUAUACGUUAUAUAAAUAAAUCUAUUGCUAUUACAUAAAUAAAAGGUGCUGGUCAACUAAUUGAAAGUAA